rnacentral:rRNA from 1 species
AGAGUUUGAUCCUGGCUCAGAUUGAACGCUGGCGGAAUGCUUUACACAUGCAAGUCGAACGAUGAACCUUAGCUUGCUAAGGGGAUUAGUGGCGAACGGGUGAGUAAUAUAUCGGAACGUGCCUUGUAAUGGGGGAUAGCUAGUCGAAAGAUUAGCUAAUACCGCAUACGCCCUGAGGGGGAAAGUAGGGGAUCUUCGGACCUUACGUUAUAAGAGCGGCCGAUAUCUGAUUAGCUAGUUGGUGGGGUAAUGGCCUACCAAGGCGACGAUCAGUAGCUGGUCUGAGAGGACGACCAGCCACACUGGAACUGAGACACGGUCCAGACUCCUACGGGAGGCAGCAGUGGGGAAUUUUGGACAAUGGGCGCAAGCCUGAUCCAGCCAUUCCGCGUGAGUGAAGAAGGCCUUCGGGUUGUAAAGCUCUUUCGCAAGGGAAGAAAACUUACUUUCUAAUAAAGAGUGAGGCUGACGGUACCUUGAUAAGAAGCACCGGCUAACUACGUGCCAGCAGCCGCGGUAAUACGUAGGGUGCGAGCGUUAAUCGGAAUUACUGGGCGUAAAGCGUGCGCAGGCGGUUUGGCAAGUCAGAUGUGAAAUCCCCGAGCUCAACUUGGGAACUACGUUUGAAACUGCCAGACUAGAAUAUGUCAGAGGGGGGUAGAAUUCCACGUGUAGCAGUGAAAUGCGUAGAGAUGUGGAGGAAUACCAAUGGCGAAGGCAGCCCCCUGGGAUAAUAUUGACGCUCAUGCACGAAAGCGUGGGGAGCAAACAGGAUUAGAUACCCUGGUAGUCCACGCCCUA